rnacentral:rRNA from 1 species
GUCCAGACUCCUACGGGAGGCAGCAGUGGGGAAUAUUGCACAAUGGGGGGAACCCUGAUGCAGCGACGCCGCGUGAGCGAAGAAGUAUCUCGGUAUGUAAAGCUCUAUCAGCAGGGAAGAAAAUGACGGUACCUGACUAAGAAGCUCCGGCUAAAUACGUGCCAGCAGCCGCGGUAAUACGUAUGGAGCAAGCGUUAUCCGGAUUUACUGGGUGUAAAGGGAGCGCAGACGGCAGGGCAAGUCUGAUGUGAAAGUCCGGGGCUCAACCCCGGGACUGCAUUGGAAACUGUCCGGCUAGAGUGCAGGAGAGGUAAGUGGAAUUCCUAGUGUAGCGGUGAAAUGCGUAGAUAUUAGGAGGAACACCAGUGGCGAAGGCGGCUUACUGGACUGUAACUGACGUUGAGGCUCGAAAGCGUGGGGAGCAAACAGGAUUAGAUACCCUCGUA